GACGAACGCUGGCGGCGUGCUUAACACAUGCAAGUCGAACGGAAAGGCCCUGCUUUUGUGGGGUGCUCGAGUGGCGAACGGGUGAGUAACACGGGAGUAACCUGCCCUUGACUUUGGGAGAACUUCAGGAAACUGGGGCUAAUACCGGAUAGGAGCUCCUGCUGCAUGGGGGGGGUUGGAAAGUUUCGGCGGUUGGGGCUGGACUCGCGGCUUAUCAGCUUGUUGGUGGGGUAGUGGCUUACCAAGGCUUUGACAGGUAGCCGGCCUGAGAGGGUGACCGCCCACAUUGGGACUGCGGUACGGCCCAGACUCCUACGGGAGGCAGCAGUGGGGAAUAUUGCACAAUGGGCGGAAGCCUGAUGCAGCAACGCCGCGUGCGUGAUGACGGCCUUCGGGUUGUAAACCGCUUUCGCCUGUGACGAAGCGUGAGUGACGGUAAUGGGUAAAGAAGCACCGGCUAACUACGUG
rnacentral:rRNA from 1 species